GUUGUUGGCGAAGAAGACAUAACCAGAAAUGAGCAGUGCGAAGGUUUCAAAAAGGAACUAUAUACCGAAUUCCUAGUGGUGGACGCCAGGAGCAUAUUCAAAUGAAUUCUCAGCAGUGAGGAGCAGAGUUUUCCGAGAAAUGGAACCGGUUGCGAUGAAUCAGCGUUCGAUCACAAUGGCCAGUUAACGCGAGACGUCCGUCAGGAAAUGCUUCCCUCUGAUAUUGACCUCUUUUCAUGGCCCAGUUGCUGCUCGAGCAAGGAGAAAGUGAAAGUGUCUUGGAAACAGGAACUAGAGAAGAAUGCAUUGAGGUCGCUCAGGGAUGGCACUUUCUGGAUGGAGAGGAGUGCCUCUUGGGAACAUUCUUCCAGGAUCUCUUUCUUGAUGGAUUCCGGGGGAAUCAUUACUUGAUG